ACUCCGUCUACUGAUUAUGGCUAACAAAGAUUUAACAGAUUUAACAACACUAACAUUACAUUGGAUCCUUCGUCUCCAAGAAUAACAUUACAUCCAGUUAAACAACGUUUGUGUGGAAGUAAUUAAUUCAUCAACGUAUCAGGGAGCUGCACUUCUGCACACCUUUGAGCAGCAGGAUGAUGCAGGCAGGAGUCUGUCUGAGACAGGACACUGAGACAACACUACCAGAGCUCACUGAGCAGCACAGGAUCAGACUGAAAGAAGAGGAACUCAGUGGACUGGAGUCAGAGACAGAGUGUGCUGCACCAGGACUCAACACACUGGAGCCAGAGUGUGUUACAGCACACAGCGGGGAGCUGAAAACAGGCAACGCCACGCUGGUGUGCCUGGCGCAGAUGCCUGUUUGGUUUGCGGAGGUCAGCUGGACGUCGGACGGGAAGCCGGUUACUAGUGGUGUUUUUACCAGCGCCGCCGAACAGAAAAAAGACAAAACCUUCGGUUUGAGCAGCUUCUUAACCAUCACGCCCUGCGAAUGGAAAAGUGACCGCGUCUUUACCUGUAAAGUAUCUGCCGCGUCUAUAAUCUCGGAGAAAAGCAUCAACAUGUCUGACUGCAGCGAGUAAACUUUGUGCUUUCACGUAUCAAACGUUCUCGCAUUGCACCUGUUGUGUUAAAGUAUGUCUAACAAUUGCUUUUAAAAUAGCCAAACAUUAGUAAGACUUCAAGGUUUAAUGUAGACUCGGCUAGUACUUGCGUUUAUAUGUGGCGUGAGUUUUGUUUUUCCCGUUUGCUUGAAUUGUGCAGAUAUUUG